UGGGGGAUAUUGCGCAAUGGGGGAAACCCUGACGCAGCAACGCCGCGUGAAGGACGAAGGUUUUCGGAUCGUAAACUUCUUUGACCGGGGACGAAGAAAUGACGGUACCCGGGGAACAAGCCACGGCUAACUACGUGCCAGCAGCCGCGGUAAUACGUAGGUGGCGAGCGUUGUCCGGCUUUACUGGGUGUAAAGGGCGCGUAGGCGGGGCGGCAAGUCCGAUGUGAAAUCCCGCGGCUUAACUGCGGAACUGCAUCGGAAACUGCCGUCCUUGAGUAUCAGAGGGGAAAGCGGAAUUCCUAGUGUAGCGGUGAAAUGCGUAGAUAUUAGGAGGAACACCGGUGGCGAAGGCGGCUUUCUGGCUGAAAACUGACGCUGAUGCGCGAAAGCGUGGGGAGCAAACAGG
rnacentral:rRNA from 2 species